ensembl:snRNA U1 U1 spliceosomal RNA
AUACUUACCUGGCGGGGGAGAUACCAUGAUCAGGAAGGUGGUUUUCCCAUGGCGAGGCUUAUCCAUUGCACUCCAGAUGUGCUGACACCUGCGUUUUCCCCUAAUGCAGGAAACUUGACUGCAUAAUGUGUGGUAAUGGGGAACUGUGUUCACACUCUCCCCUG